rnacentral:rRNA from 1 species
AACGAACGCUGGCGGCAUGCCUAACACAUGCAAGUCGAACGAAGGCUUCGGCCUUAGUGGCGCACGGGUGCGUAACGCGUGGGAAUCUGCCCUUUGGUUCGGAAUAACAGCUGGAAACGGCUGCUAAUACCGGAUGAUGACGAAAGUCCAAAGAUUUAUCGCCAGAGGAUGAGCCCGCGUUGGAUUAGGUAGUUGGUGGGGUAAAGGCCUACCAAGCCGACGAUCCAUAGCUGGUCUGAGAGGAUGAUCAGCCACACUGGGACUGAGACACGGCCCAGACUCCUACGGGAGGCAGCAGUGGGGAAUAUUGGACAAUGGGCGCAAGCCUUAUCCAGCAAUGCCGCGUGAGUGAUGAAGGCCCUAGGGUUGUAAAGCUCUUUUACCCGGGAAGAUAAUGACUGUACCGGGAGAAUAAGCCCCGGCUAACUCCGUG